CAGCCGUAAACUAUGCGCGUUAGGUGUAUCGGUGACCACGAGUUACCGAGGUGCCGAAGGGAAACCGUGAAACGUGCCGCCUGGGAAGUACGGUCGCAAGGCUGAAACUUAAAGGAAUUGGCGGGGGAGCACCACAACAGGUGGAGCCUGCGGUUUAAUUGGACUCAACGCCGGGAAGCUCACCGGAUAGGACAACAGAAUGAUUGCCGGGCUGAAGACCCUGCAUGACUAGCUGAGAGGAGGUGCAUGGCGUAGACGUCU
rnacentral:rRNA from 1 species